rfam:Salmo salar isolate Sally breed double haploid chromosome ssa18, whole genome shotgun sequence.
UGGCUCAGCUGGUAGAGCAUGGUGUUUGCAACACCAGGCUUGUGGGUUCAAUUCCCAC